GACGAACGCUGGCGGCAGGCUUAACACAUGCAAGUCGAGCGCCCCGCAAGGGGAGCGGCAGACGGGUGAGUAACGCGUGGGAAUCUACCCAUCUCUACGGAAUAACGCAUGGAAACGUGUGCUAAUACCGUAUACGUCCUUCGGGAGAAAGAUUUAUCGGAGAUGGAUGAGCCCGCGUUGGAUUAGCUAGUUGGUGGGGUAAAGGCCUACCAAGGCGACGCUCCAUAGCUGGUCUGAGAGGAUGAUCAGCCACACUGGGACUGAGACACGGCCCAGACUCCUACGGGAGGGAGCAGUGGGGAAUAUUGGACAAUGGGCGCAAGCCUGAUCCAGCCAUGCCGCGUGAGUGAUGAAGGCCCUAGGGUUGUAAAGCUCUUUCACCGGUGAAGAUAAUGACGGUAACCGGAGAAGAAGCCCCGGCUAACUUCGUGCCAGCAGCCGCCGCCGUAA
rnacentral:rRNA from 1 species